rnacentral:rRNA from 1 species
AAUCAACGCUGGCGGCGUGCCUCAGACAUGCAAGUCGAACGAUUAAAGCUCUCUUCGGAGAGUGUAUAGAGUGGCGCACGGGUGAGUAACACGUAAGUAAUCUACCCUCGAGUGGGGAAUAACGUCCGGAACGGACGCUAAUACCGCAUAAUGCAGCGGCACCGCAAGGUGACAGUUGUUAAAGGAGAAAUUCGCUUGAGGAGGAGCUUGCGGCAGAUUAGCUUGUUGGUAAGGUAACGGCUUACCAAGGCUACGAUCUGUAACCGGUCUUAGAGGACGGUCGGUCACACUGACACUGAAUAACGGGUCAGACUCCUACGGGAGGCAGCAGUCGGGAAUU